rnacentral:rRNA from 1 species
UUAUUCUAUAGAAGAAUUGAUUGGAAAUUAUAAUUGGAUUCUAAAGAAUUACUCUUUCUUACUAGAUUGAAAAUGAAAGUGAAGAAAACGCUUAAAUGCAUAAAGAAAAAAGGCAAGCUAUUAUAACUGACGUUGAGGGACGAAGGCUCAGAGAGUGAAGAGGAUUAGAUACCCCCGUAGCCUGGGCAGACAAUGAUGAGUGCCAUAGGUUGGCUUUACGCGGAACUAUAAAUGAAAGUGCAAGCACUCCACCUCAAGAGUAAUGUGGCAACGCAGGAACUGAAAUCAUUAGACCGUUUCUGAAACCAGUCGUGAAGUAUGUUAUUUAAUUCGAUGAUCCUCGAAUAACCUUACCACAAUUUGAAUGACCUAAAAUAUUUUUUUAGACCACAUGCGUUGCAUGGCUGUCUUCAGUUAAUGUCGUGAGAUUUGGUUAGGUCCAUUAAAUUAACGUAAACCCUUGUUUUAUUUAUUACUAUAAAGCAGCUCUCCGCUUACAAUUGGAUGUGAUAAUAGGGACUAAGACAAGUCAUCAUGGCCUUAAUAUUGUGGGCUAUAGACGUGCCACAUGUGCCUUUACAAAGGGAUGCAAUGAUGCGAA